UACGUAGGGGGCGAGCGUUGUCCGGAUUUAUUGGGCGUAAAGCGUCUGUAGGUGGCUUUUUAAGUCUGCCGUCAAAUCCCAGGGCUUAACCCUGGACAGGCGGUGGAAACUACCAAGCUGGAGUACGGUAGGGGCAGGGGGAAUUUCCGGUGGAGCGGUGAAAUGCGUAGAGAUCGGAAAGAACACCAACGGCGAAAGCACUCUGCUGGGCCGACACUGACACUGAGAGACGAAAGCUAGGGGAGCGAAUGGG
rnacentral:rRNA from 1 species